CAGUGCCCUACUCAGGAAGGCAUUAUUCACAUAGUUGGAAAUAUGAAUGGCGCCUUUCUGAGUAGAGCAAUGCG
rfam:Sus scrofa chromosome X.